UACGGAGGAUGCAAGCGUUAUCCGGAAUGAUUGGGCGUAAAGCGUCCGCAGGUGGCUGUGUAAGUCUGCUGUCAAAGAGCGAAGCUCAACUUCGUAAAGGCAGUGGAAACUACACGGCUAGAGUGCGUUCGGGGCAGAGGGAAUUCCUGGUGUAGCGGUGAAAUGCGUAGAGAUCAGGAAGAACACCGGUGGCGAAGGCGCUCUGCUAGGCCGCAACUGACACUGAGGGACGAAAGCCAGGGGAGCGAAUGGG
rnacentral:rRNA from 1 species